GAAUGCAAGUCACACGAUAACGAUUUCUUUUCGUUUAGAGAGGCAGCAAGGUUCUGUAGUCGAUAAGUUAAUUCCUCUUUUUGGGUAAUCUUUCCUUUUAGAGAGAAACUUUCUGAUUUCAAUUUAGCAACCUUUUCAAGCUCUGACUCAAUAUCUCGAGAGAAUUCAUCACGUUUAUGAUAAAAAUCAUAAAGCUGCUUUUUUAAACAGCUUUCGCAAAUAGAAGGACGUCUUGUUUCGCAUAAUUGGCAUUUAUUGACAUGCAGCAUAC